GAAGCUGGAAUUGCUAGUAAUGGCAGGUCAGCAUACUGCCGUGAAUACGUUCCCGGGCCUUGUACACACCGCCCGUCACACCAUGAGAGUUGGAAAUACCCGAAGCCUGUGAGCUAACUUUUAGAGGCAGCAGUCGAAGGUAGAGCCAAUGAUUGGGGUGAAGUCGUAACAAGGUAUC
rnacentral:rRNA from 1 species